rnacentral:rRNA from 2 species
AGAGUUUGAUCAUGGCUCAGAUUGAACGCUGGCGGCAGGCCUAACACAUGCAAGUCGAGCGGUAGCACAGAGAGCUUGCUCUCGGGUGACGAGCGGCGGACGGGUGAGUAAUGUCUGGGAAACUGCCUGAUGGAGGGGGAUAACUACUGGAAACGGUAGCUAAUACCGCAUAAUGUCGCAAGACCAAAGUGGGGGACCUUCGGGCCUCAUGCCAUCAGAUGUGCCCAGAUGGGAUUAGCUAGUAGGUGGGGUAACGGCUCACCUAGGCGACGAUCCCUAGCUGGUCUGAGAGGAUGACCAGCCACACUGGAACUGAGACACGGUCCAGACUCCUACGGGAGGCAGCAGUGGGAAUAUUGCACAAUGGGCGCAAGCCUGAUGCAGCCAUGCCGCGUGUGUGAAGAAGGCCUUCGGGUUGUAAAGCACUUUCAGCGGGGAGGAAGGCGGUGAGGUUAAUAACCUCAUCGAUUGACGUUACCCGCAGAAGAAGCACCGGCUAACUCCGUGCCAGCAGCCGCGGUAAUACGGAGGGUGCAAGCGUUAAUCGGAAUUACUGGGCGUAAAGCGCACGCAGGCGGUCUGUCAAGUCGGAUGUGAAAUCCCCGGGCUUAACCUGGGAACUGCAUUCGAAACUGGCAGGCUAGAGUCUUGUAGAGGGGGGUAGAAUUCCAGGUGUAGCGGUGAAAUGCGUAGAGAUCUGGAGGAAUACCGGUGGCGAAGGCGGCCCCCUGGACAAAGACUGACGCUCAGGUGCGAAAGCGUGGGGAGCAAACAGGAUUAGAUACCCUGGUAGUCCACGCCGUAAACGAUGUCGAUUUGGAGGUUGUGCCCUUGAGGCGUGGCUUCCGGAGCUAACGCGUUAAAUCGACCGCCUGGGGAGUACGGCCGCAAGGUUAAAACUCAAAUGAAUUGACGGGGGCCCGCACAAGCGGUGGAGCAUGUGGUUUAAUUCGAUGCAACGCGAAGAACCUUACCUGGUCUUGACAUCCACAGAACUUUCCAGAGAUGGAUUGGUGCCUUCGGGAACUGUGAGACAGGUGCUGCAUGGCUGUCGUCAGCUCGUGUUGUGAAAUGUUGGGUUAAGUCCCGCAACGAGCGCAACCCUUAUCCUUUGUUGCCAGCGGUUAGGCCGGGAACUCAAAGGAGACUGCCAGUGAUAAACUGGAGGAAGGUGGGGAUGACGUCAAGUCAUCAUGGCCCUUACGACCAGGGCUACACACGUGCUACAAUGGCAUAUACAAAGAGAAGCGACCUCGCGAGAGCAAGCGGACCUCAUAAAGUAUGUCGUAGUCCGGAUUGGAGUCUGCAACUCGACUCCAUGAAGUCGGAAUCGCUAGUAAUCGUAGAUCAGAAUGCUACGGUGAAUACGUUCCCGGGCCUUGUACACACCGCCCGUCACACCAUGGGAGUGGGUUGCAAAAGAAGUAGGUAGCUUAACCUUCGGGAGGGCGCUUACCACUUUGUGAUUCAUGACUGGGGUGAAGUCGUAACAAGGUAACCGUAGGGGAACCUGCGGUUGGAUCACCU